rfam:Pseudomonas alcaligenes NBRC 14159 DNA, contig: PA6054.
CAGUGACGCCGGGCCCCUCUGGCGGCGCCCCCAACGCCGCGAUGUCGGAGUCACUGU